rnacentral:rRNA from 1 species
UCUCGAAAUCCAGCAUGGUGUACUGCCGUUGUAAGCAUACCUCUAAAAGAACAAGUAUGCCGUCAUGAUUUAAACAACUCAUAUACAUCAGGUCAAAGUGCAGCCAAUAAGAAGGUGAUGAUGGGUUACAACCCCAAAAAAGACUAUCAACUAAGAAAUUAAAAAUCUUACGAAAGUGGACUUGGCCGUAAUCAAUUUAUAGGUUAAAAAAAUGAAUAAAUACCUAAGACAUGCACACAUCGCCCGUCACUCUAUCCUAAAGGUUAGAUAAGUCGUAACAAAGUAGGUGUAAUGGAAAUUGCACCUAUCGGAGUAUAGCAUAUAUAAUGCUUUUUACUUACACUAAAAAUAAAGUGAACACUUAUUCCGCCCACAUAAAACAAUCUUUUAAGAAUUAAUUUAUAAUACAAACAACUAAAAUUAAUAAACACAAAGUACAGAAAUGGAAGAAACAAUAAAUAACAGUAAUUCUUAACAAGUGUACCUCGUGCAUUAUGGUUUUACAAGAAAUUAAUUAAAUAUACAAAUCCCGAAUUCUAAAUGAGAUGUUAAACUGCUGUUAAGAACCUAUUAGUAGCUGUAGAAAAAGCUUUAAAAGACAGUUUAACAGAGGCUACAUACCAUUCGCAUAAGAAUAUAGCUGGUUUUCAACAAACAUUAUACAUUAAAACAUAUAAUAAACAUUAUAGUGUAAUAUUAUUGAGGAUAAGCCCAAUAAUUUAAGCAAUGCCACAUCAAAUCUAUUUAUUCCAAUAGGCUUAAUAUCAGCCAAUUAAAAUACUUUACCGUAACAAAAACCGAUAUAAUAUGUAAUAAAGCAUGUAGGAAAUAGUUGAAAUGGGGGGCAAUCUACCUAACCCGCUCUUAAUAUGUAAAAAUAAGUAUUAGUAAGGUAUAAUUAUUAGAUAACCAGAAAUUAACAAUAAACUAAAAAUAAUAACUAAUUAAGGAACUCGGCAAAUAACUAUUUCGACUGUUUAACAAAAACAUUGUCUCAUGAAUACAAUAUGAGAUAAUA